GAUGUAUGAAAAUGUGGGUUCUGAAACACGUGUGGGUGCUGUUAUUUGCGAUGAAUUGUGAAUGUUUUGUUGAUCUUGUUGAUGAAUUUGGAGGCAACGCGACGAUGAGUGAGCGUCCUUUUUAUGAUUACGUGGCUUCCAAUGCAAUUAAUGAAGAUACAGGCGCCCAGAAAUCAUGCGCCGUCAUGGACGUCUCAGGGGGAUAUCAAAGUGUCUGGUGGAAAGUGUGGCUGCAGAGGAAUUUCAACGUUGCUGAAAUAAAGAUCCAUUUUCAACCAGCUAGUAAUGUUUUCACUCUACGAGUAAAUGGGAAAAUACGUUAAAAGCAGAAUGCAACACACAAACGGGAAAUUGAAAUAAAUAAUAAUUGUUGUUUAACACCCACUACCCCACGCUUGAGGUUUUAAUCGUGUGGAAAAUGAGGCAUAUGUUGUAAAUACAGUGUGAAAUCAACUUCUCUUUCAGUUCCCUCACUUUUUUGUCGAAAUACUAUGCUACCUGUCUGAAACAUGACUUGACGAAUUUAAUAAUAUCUAAAAUUAUUUGUUUCAGCGAUAUAUUGGUCAACAGGAUUUUUAAUAUACGUUUUUGACAAUGAAUCCUUUAUACCCCCUAAUGAUGUGACAGGACGUCUAGUGUACCAACAUGACCCAUCUACCGGGUGUUUACUACAGCAUAUGAAUAUAACUGUGCACAGCACACGGCAUCGCUUUCUAUAACACUAGAGAAAGGGUCCUACAAUCCAACUGUAACGACAAAAAUGAAAAUAGACAGUUCGUAGAGAUUUGUGAAGUCAAUGUACUAGGUUGUGAUGCCACGCGAUACAGUGAAAAUUGUUCUCAUGAAUGUGACAGAAUAUGUCUAAACCAACACUGUGAUGCCUAUAAUGGUGAAUGUAUAUAUGGAUGUAGUGAACCGCAUCGUGCUGGACCACAUUGUACAGACUGCCAAAAGGGAUACUAUGGCGUAAAAUAUACACAUAAAUGUGGUCACUGCAUCGACAAACACGACUGUAAUAAGACAACUGGCGUCUGCUUCAAAGGAUGUCUGCCGCACUGGAACGGGCCGAAAUGUGAUGUAUAUCCUGACUCGAGCAGUUUAGCAUUUGCCAAAUAUGAGAAAGGUUCCUCCAGUGGAUUGCACAUUGCUAUAAUCUCUGUUACCCCAACACUCCUGGUCAUCUCCGUAUUGGUGAACGUUAUUCUAGUUUUCCGCAAACAGAGACGGCAAUCCUCAACACAGCAUGUAAAUAACCAACCAGAACAAACUCAUACCGAAAUGGAGGAAACACGAGAGUACGACAAAAUAGGUGUCAGAAAUACGGACGAGUAUCAAGAGAUGUCGCCCACUGUCAUUGACCAAUCUCCUCAAGACAGAGCUUCCGCUUAUAUCAACUUAUCGUGAUAAGUAGCGCAUUUUCCCACACAAAUAAUUGUAUCUUCUUUUGAGAUAACGAUAAGGACACCUGUUACCUAAUUGACAAUCCUAUCAAGUUUUUUUUUUAUGGUUUAGUAGAAUAAAGUUAAGAAGUGUUAUCCGGAAGUAAACAUAUUUUAUCGACACUGAAAUGGUAUGUCUAUUCUGAACUUUACCUCAAGGAUUGUACCAUGUUUUUGUUUAUAUAUAGAUUGCUUAUUAUAGAAUAUAACGUUUAAGACAAAAUGAGUGGUGCCAAACUCUAGAAGCUGUUUCAUUGGGUUCGGAAUUAACUUUCAAAUAAAAAAUAUGCCUUAAACGGAACUUGUACUUGCAUAUUCAGUCUAUGUAAACAAAAAAUGCCACGCGCCUUGUUUACAUAUCAAUGAAUUCUGAGCUCUGUAUCUCCCAAACACCGUAUUAACUGACACUCAACUUCUUGUUGACCGCCAGAAAUACUUCAUCUUAGCCUUCUAAACAAUAAAAAGGAAAAAAGAAACAUAAUUUGAAAAGGUUCAGCUCAAAUCCUGCCCAUGUCCCUUUCAAAAUCAUAGAUAACAUAAAACAAAACUUCAACUAACUUACUAAUGUUAAACAAAUUGAAACCGUGUAUAGUGUUUUAUUUUUCGAUAUUCCAUAGUCAUGAUAGUUAUUUCUUAAUCAGUUACACUGUCACUGGACUACCAGUAAGAUAUUUCCUCCAAUCAGUUUUACUAUUACCGUACUACAAAUACGAAAUUUCUACUUAAUCGAUUACACUAUUACCGAACUACCUCUACGAUACGUGAAAAGUGUUGAUCACUCUCAAUACUAGCUGAGGUCCGUACAUGUGUCAGCCGAAUUAUAUAUCCGGUGUCCAGGUUGAUAUAGCACCUCACUAAAUAUUCAGGGGGCCCGGGUUCGAAUGUCAGUGUGGUCCGUUGCAUUUAACCCCUCCCGUUAUUUCCUGGAACUGACAGGUGAAAAUGCCUGCCACGGGGUAAAAAUCCUUGGUUGAUCUACCCAAGUGCAUGAGAUUUUUAGUUAUCUUCAAAUUCAGAUAUCCCGUGGUGAUCAGGGUUAGAAUAAAUCCUCAGUACCCCCUUGCUUGUCGAAAGAGGCGACUAAAUGGGGCGGUCAUUCGGAUGAGACUGCAUAAACCGAGGUCCCGUGUCAAAGCAGGAGCGGUACGAUUAAGGUCCCUCCCUGCUCAAUGGCCAUAAGUGCUGAACAUAGGCUUAAAUUUUACAGCCUUUCACCAGUGGUGACAUCUUCAUAUGAGUGAACUAUUCUGGAUAGGGACGUUAUACAAUAUUAAUGAAUUAAUCAAUCAAAUUCGGAGACUUUCCUUAUUUGUAAUGACAAUGCCUAUGGCGUGCUGACGUUAAUUUCUCGAAUCAAACAUCACUGCAUGGUAACUAUGAUUUCCACGGUGUGGAAACUAUGCGCAAACUAUGUGAAAACUUAAGAUAAGAAAUGGCUUACGUAAGGUUUCAGUUUGGGAACCUCAAGUUUACAAGGGUUUGCGGAGUGCAUAAACCUAGGCCGUCCACAAUUCUAGGUGGUUUAAAUACCGGAAACUCGCUGAAACCUAGGGUUUCUGUACUAUUUCCGCACUACUGAAACUAGUCGCCACCUUAGGUUCCCACGUUUCCACACUAUUCACUUUACAGUCAAGGUUUAUGCAGUGCAGAAGCCCCCAGAAACUUAUGAACAUGAAUAGCCAACCCUUUUCUAAAAUAUAAUAUAAUUGAAUCAAGGCUAUAUACAUAAAGUCACACUUUAGUAUUUGUGAUACAUAUUAUGCUCCUGAACUUUACAAAUCAUUCAACAAUGGUUUGUGCAAACUAGUUCUCUAUUAAUUGAAUAAAUUGUUUUAAAUCUAAGAUAUUACCAACCACACAGACGUUUGGAUAUUACUUUAGGAUUUCUGGGUUUUUUCUUCGGUAGGGAAAUUAACCCCUUUGCUUUUGAGCAAAAUCUCGAAGUUUGUUUUAACUGUUUAAGUACUAGCUCAAUACGUAUUUCAUUGAUUCACACAUAUUAUGCAUUUAUUACUUAAUCUUACUCAGUUCAAACUAUGUUUUACUAAUUCUUUACAAGAAAACUAUGUUUUACUAAUACUUUACAAGAAAUACAAGACAGAGCUCUUCUAAUUUUACCAAUUUUGGUAAUCAUACUUAUACUCCAACUGCCCUUUCAAAAGACGAAAUUCUUCAAAACCAUGCUUCAGUUUUAGACACAUUUAAUAUUCCAGUCAAUGGGUCGAAUGAAUAUGAGUUACCGUACCUAUACUGGAUUCCUAAACUACAUAAAAACCCUUACAAACAAAGAUACAUUACUGGAUCCAGUAAGUGCCCUACCAAGCCCCUAUCUUUGCUCCUUGCGAAAAUGUUAACAGCUGUGAAGGAGAAACUUCAAACUUACUGUGCGACUACAUCCAGAAGUGGUGUUAAUCAAAUGUGGAUUCUAAAAAAUUCUAAAGAACUUUUAGUAAACUUGAAAUCACAGAAUUUUUCCCAAAUCAAUAGCAUUAAAACCUAUGACUUUUCAACACUAUACACGACCAUUCCUCACGAUAAAUUAAAGACUAGACUUUUUGACAUCAUAGACAGUUGCUUCUUCAACAAAAGCGGAAAACGGAAAUAUUCAUAUCUAGUGAUCAGUCAUUCAAAAACUUACCUUGUUAAACACCACUCUGAUUCCACGCACAAGUACUCUGAAGUUGAAAUAAAAAAUAUGCUAGAGUUCUUCAUUGACAAUAUCUUCGUGGUCUUUGGUGAUCAGGUCUUCCAAGAGUCUGUUGGAAUUCCCAUGGGCACGAACUGUGCUCCUUUGUUAGCUGACCUGUUUUUAUAUUCAUAUGAAGCAGAAUUUAUUCAAAAACUUCUACGUGAGAAGAAAAAAUCUCUCGCUUCAUUCAUAUGUCGAUUUGAUAUAUACCUGUGAGUUGGAAAAAAAGAACACCACAGAGUCGCCCACUUCUGCUUCAUACUUAGAUAUUUUAUUGAAAUUAGACAUUAACGGCAAACUGACAACUCACCUGUAUGACAAACGGGAUGAUUUCAGCUUCUCCAUCGUCAACUUCCCACAUUUAUGUAGCAAUAUUCCAUUAUCCCCUGCAUAUGGUGUUUAUAUAUCUCAACUGAUUCGAUAUGCAAGAGCUUGUUCUGGGUAUAGUCAGUUUUUAAAUCGGGGUAAGCCACUGACAAACAAGUUGAUGGUACAGGGAUUUCAACAUCUCGAUUGAAGUCAGCAUUUCGCAAAUUCUAUGGUCGUUAUAACGAUCUAGUUCGUUAAGACAACCUUGCAUUGGGUCAAAUGUUGUCUGAUGUGUUUCAUACCGAUUGUUAAGCCGUUCUUGGCAUACUGAUUUGACUGCGGAUAACUCCGUUUACCUGAUCAGGAUAUGGGGCUCACGGCGGGUGUGACCGGUCAACAGGGGAUGCUUACUCCUCCUAGGCACCUGAUCCCACCUCUGGUGUAUCCAGGGGUCCAUGUUUGCCCAACUAUCUAUUUUGUGUUGCUUGUAGGAGUUAUGAGAUUGAUCACUGUUCGUUAUCUUCACCUUGCAUUUAUGUUACAAGAGCCAAAACAGAAUAUUUUAGAAGAUAUUUGAUCAUUUCAGCAGCAAUUUUAUGGAACUCGUUACCCGAUUUUAUAAGGAAAUGCACAACUACCACAUAUUUUAAAUCAGCCUAUCUAAGACAUUAUCUUAAUCCUCAAUGAUGCUCAUGUUAUUGUCUCUUUUCAUUUAGUUCUUAUCUGUAUGUAUAUAAAUUGUGAUAUUUCCAUGCUUUGUGAUAUAUGGUCUCGAUAUGUAUAUAUGUUAUAGACAGGACCACAAUGUAAACUAGUUUAUACAACUAAUUGUGCAAUCCUGUAUAAAUAAAGGAUAUUAUUAUUUGUCAAUUCAGAUUUUAAAUGGGUUUGGAAAGGAAUUCAUGCUAUGGCGGAAGUAUUGUUUGAUAAAAUAAAAUAUUUACCUCUGUCAUUUCCUUGUUAUCGAGUAUUUUGUAUAUUUUUAUACCACUAUACACUCAUUUCAAAUUAAUUAUUUGCGAUUGAAAUAUUUCUUUCCUG